rnacentral:rRNA from 1 species
UACGAAGGGGGCUAGCGUUGCUCGGAAUCACUGGGCGUAAAGGGUGCGUAGGCGGGUCUUUAAGUCAGGGGUGAAAUCCUGGAGCUCAACUCCAGAACUGCCUUUGAUACUGAAGAUCUUGAGUUCGGGAGAGGUGAGUGGAACUGCGAGUGUAGAGGUGAAAUUCGUAGAUAUUCGCAAGAACACCAGUGGCGAAGGCGGCUCACUGGCUCGGUACUGACGCUGAGGUGCGAAAAGCGUGGGGAGCAACAGGG